rnacentral:rRNA from 1 species
GACGAACGCUGGCGGCGUGCUUAACACAUGCAAGUCGAACGAAGAGCGACGGAAGCUUGCUUCUCUCAAUCUUAGUGGCGCACGGGUGAGUAACGCGUAAUCAACCUGCCCUUCAGAGGGGGACAACAGUUGGAAACGACUGCUAAUACCGCAUACGAUCUAACCUCGGCAUCGAGGAUAGAUGAAAGGUGGCCUCUACAUGUAAGCUAUCACUGAAGGAGGGGAUUGCGUCUGAUUAGCUAGUUGGAGGGGUAACGGCCCACCAAGGCGAUGAUCAGUAGCCGGUCUGAGAGGAUGAACGGCCACAUUGGGACUGAGACACGGCCCAGACUCCUACGGGAGGCAGCAGUGGGGAAUCUUCCGCAAUGGACGAAAGUCUGACGGAGCAACGCCGCGUGAGUGAUGACGGCCUUCGGGUUGUAAAGCUCUGUUAAUCGGGACGAAAGGCCUUCUUGCGAAUAGGGAGAAGGAUUGACGGUACCGGAAUAGAAAGCCACGGCUAACUACGUG